rnacentral:rRNA from 1 species
GACGAACGCUGGCGGCGUGCUUAACACAUGCAAGUCGAACGAGACGAUUGAAAGCUUGCUUUCGAAAGUCGAGUGGCAAACGGGUGAGUAACGCGUAGACAACCUGCCUUUGAGAUGGGGACAACAGUUCGAAAGGACUGCUAAUACCGAAUGUUGUAUAUUUUCCACAUGGAAGAUAUAUUAAAGAUGGCCUCUAUUUAUAAGCUAUCGCUCAAAGAUGGUGCUGCGUCUGAUUAGCUGGUUGGUGGGGUAACGGCCUACCAAGGCGACGAUCAGUAGCCGGUCUGAGAGGAUGAACGGCCACAUUGGGACUGAGACACGGCCCAGACUCCUACGGGAGGCAGCAGUGGGGAAUCUUCCACAAUGGACGAAAGUCUGAUGGAGCAACGCCGCGUGAGUGAAGAAGGGUUUCGGCUCGUAAAGCUCUGUUGUCGGGGACGAAUGUGCAGUAUUUGAAUAAAGUACUGCAAUGACGGUACCUGACGAGGAAGCCACGGCUAACUACGUGCCAGCCGCCGCGGUAA